UAUGGUGGUUGACUAGCCUCACA
rnacentral:piRNA from 1 species